rnacentral:rRNA from 1 species
UAAUACAGAGGGUGCGAGCGUUGUUCGGAAUUAUUGGGCGUAAAGGGAGUGUAGGCUGUUUGGAAAGUCUUCUGUGAAAUCUACGGGCUUACCCUGUAAAGUGCAGAGGAAACUACCAGGCUUGAGUGUCGGAGAGGACAGGGGAAUACCCAGUGUAGAGGUGAAAUUCGUAGAGAUUGGGUGGAACACCAGUGGCGAAGGCGCCUGUCUGGCUGACAACUGACGCUGAGACUCGAAAGCAUGGGGAGCAAACAGGAUUAGAUACCCUGGUAGUCCAUGCCGUAAACGAUGAUAGCUAGAUGUGUGAGGUAUUGACCCCUUACGUGUCGAAGUCAACACGAUAAGCUAUCCGCCUGGGGAGUACGGUCGCAAGAUUA